CCAAGUUUGACGAAUACGAUCAGUGAAAGCUCCAUUCUUGUAGUCGCUCGACCUCGCUCUCCGCUAUUAAUGUUCAGCUCGUCUUCUUCGACUUCGUUUCGAGAGAGAGAGAGGGAGGGAACGCGCGUCUCUGCUCUCGAAUCAAGCUCUUGCUGAUUCAGCCAUGGCCGAGAGCCCCGAGACCAGCGACGCCGUCCCUCUGUUCGAGAAGGCUUAUCACGCCAACUGUCCCGGGUGCAAGGUCGACCGCCUCAAGCAGGAGCGACGAGGGAUCCCUUACAGGGACCUGUCUUUCAUUUGGAUCGUCUCUUUAUGCACCGCUCUGCCGAUCUCGUCACUUUUUCCAUUUCUGUACUUCAUGAUCGGAGACUUCCAUAUCGCAAAGAGAGAGGAAGACAUUGGUUUCUAUGCUGGAUUUGUAGGGUCUUCAUUCAUGGUGGGAAGAGCUCUGACAUCUGUUUUCUGGGGAGUUGUAGCAGAUAGAUAUGGUCGAAAACCAGUUAUUUUGAUCGGCACAUUCUCAGUGGUUAUCCUCAAUGCUCUCUUUGGCCUGAGCACUAGUUUCUGGAUGGCCCUUUGUACACGUUUUCUUCUGGGAUGCUUCAACAGUCUACUGGGUACUAUAAGGGCUUAUGCCACAGAGGUUUCUAGAGAAGAACACCGUGCUCUCACUCUAUCAGUUGUCAGUACAUCGAGAGGCAUAGGGCUCAUCAUCGGCCCUGCUAUUGGAGGUUUCUUUGCACAGCCUGCAGAAAAAUAUCCAUUUUUGUUCUCUCAAAGCUCUAUCUUUGGAAGAUAUCCCUACUUCUUGCCGUGCCUCCUAAUAUCGAUUUACGCGGCAGGAGUAUUUAUUUCUUGCUGGUGGCUACCUGAAACAUUGCACAUGCAUGAAAGCACAGUUGGUAGGGAUUCAUGUGAUUCAUCUGAUGCUACAAAACAUGAUACAGAAGUUGAGGAACAGAAAACUUAUGAAGAUAAUCUCCUCAAGAAUUGGCCUCUGAUGUCCACUAUCAUUGUUUAUUGUGUUUUCUCGCUUCAAGAAAUUGCUUACUCAGAGAUAUUCUCACUGUGGGCUGUCAGUGAAAGAAAGUAUGGAGGGCUGAACUUUUCAUCUCAAGAUGUUGGUGAAGUUCUAGCUAUUUCAGGGCUUGGUCUUUUACUAUUCCAACUUCUUCUAUAUCCACGGGUCGAGAAAAUUCUUGGGCCGAUAAUGAUCACUCAACUAUCAGCUGGCAUAUCUAUCCCAUUGCUGUCAAGUUACCCUUAUAUAGCCAUGCUUUCUGGGUUGACGCUUCACAUAGCAAUAAAUUUUGCAUCCAUAUUAAGGAAUGCUCUCUCUGUAUCUGGGGUCACAGGAAUAUUCAUAUUGCUCAACAAUGCUGUUCCCCAGCACCAAAGAGGAGCUGCUAAUGGUAUUUCCAUGACUGCAAUGUCUAUCUCAAAGGCAUUUGGCCCUGCAUGCGGAGGUGCCCUUAUUCAAAAGCAAUGGGUAGAGUUGCUUGUGGUAGCGUCUAAACAUGGACAACUGAGUCACGAUGGGUCUGGGAUCCAGCGUCAAGCGUGUAUAGUUCUCGAUUGUCUCUACUCUUAGUGUCUAGUCGGAAAAGGCCACUGUGGAUCUGGGACUGGGAUAGCUUUCCUUUUCAGGGAAUUCAGGAUAUUCCUAAUAUCUCUUUUAGCCUUUCUUAAGCUUGCUCUGCUUUGAGUACAUAUCAUCUCAUCUGAAUGAACCAGCUUCUCUAAUUAGAGUCGCACAUAAAUGCUUGAACUGUUUUCUUGGGCCCAGAAGCGGC